AUUGAACGCUGGCGGCAGGCCUAACACAUGCAAGUCGAGCGAGAGGCGGACGGGUGAGUAAUGUAUGGGGAUCUGCCUGAUGGCGGGGGAUAACUACUGGAAACGGUAGCUAAUACCGAAUACCAUAAGAUGAACCCAUAUGGGAUUAGCUGUUAGGUGAGGUAAAGGCGUACCUAGGCGACGAACCCUAGCUGGUCUGAGAGGAUGAUCAGCCACACUGGGACUGAGACACGGCCCAGACCCCUACGGGAGGCAGCAGUGGGGAAUAUUGCACAAUGGGCGCAAGCCUGAUGCAGCCAUGCCGCGUGUAUGAAGAAGGCCUUCGGGUUGUAAAGUACUUUCAGUCGGGAGGCGUUACCGACAGAAGAAGCACCGGCUAACUCCGUGCCAGCAGCCGCGGUAAUAC
rnacentral:rRNA from 1 species